rnacentral:tRNA from 1 species
GCAGGGAUACCCAAGUGGUCAAAGGGGCAGGACUCAAGAUCCUGUGGCUUAGUGCCUUCGUAGGUUCGAAUCCUACUCCCUGCA